UGCCCAAAAGCCAGUUUCCAAAAGGUU
rnacentral:piRNA from 1 species